rnacentral:lncRNA from 1 species
GAGCCAGAGAAGCAGAGACAGGUAAAGACAAUCAGCAGGGGAUGAAGAUGUCAAACACGGCCAAAGAAGAACUGUAAUGACAACCUAGAGGACUUCCUAAGUCUCUCAGGACUCUUCCAGGCAGUUGGAACUUGAGGGAUUUCAACAACUUCUUUGCUGCCUAGACCUUGAUUCAUCUCUCUCGGAAGCGUACUCCAGCAUACGUUCCAAUAUGUUCCAGUACAUUCCAGCACUUGGCCUUCAUGCCUCCUGAUCACAGAGCAUAGCGGUG